AGAUGGGCGUGCGGCUGAUUAGGUAGUUGGCGGGGUAACGGCCCACCAAGCCUACGAUCAGUAGCUGAUGUGAGAGCAUGAUCAGCCACACGGGCACUGAGACACGGGCCCGACUCCUACGGGAGGCAGCAGUAGGAAUAUUGGUCAAUGGGCGAAAGUCUGAACGCAGCCAUGCCGCGUGA
rnacentral:rRNA from 1 species